rnacentral:rRNA from 1 species
GACGAACGCUGGCGGCGUGCCUAAUACAUGCAAGUCGAGCGGACUUUCAGAAGCUUGCUUCUGAAAGUUAGCGGCGGACGGGUGAGUAACACGUGGGCAACCUGCCUGUAAGAUGGGGAUAACUUCGGGAAACCGAAGCUAAUACCGAAUAACACUUACGCUCACAUGAGCGUAGGUUGAAAGACGGUUCCGGCUGUCACUUACAGAUGGGCCCGCGGCGCAUUAGCUAGUUGGUGAGGUAACGGCUCACCAAGGCGACGAUGCGUAGCCGACCUGAGAGGGUGAUCGGCCACACUGGGACUGAGACACGGCCCAGACCCCUACGGGAGGCAGCAGUAGGGAAUCUUCCGCAAUGGACGAAAGUCUGACGGAGCAACGCCGCGUGAGUGAUGAAGGUUUUCGGAUCGUAAAACUCUGUUGUUAGGGAAGAACAAGUAUGAGAGUAACUGCUCGUACCUUGACGGUACCUAACCAGAAAGCCACGGCUAACUACGUGCCAGCCGCCGCAGUAAAAC